rnacentral:tRNA from 1 species
GGGCUCGUGGCGCAGCGGUAGCGCGUUCCGUUUGCAACGGAGAGGUCGUGGGUUCAAAUCCCACCGAGUCCA